rnacentral:rRNA from 1 species
UUAAGCUCCCUAAAGGGUCGUUGGAGACUACAACGUUGAUAGGUUGGGUGUGGAAGUGCUGCGAGGCAUUGAGCUAACCAAUACUAAUUACCCGUGAGGCUUAACCAUACAACACCCAAGUGGUUUUCA